GUUCGACUCACCGUGGAGCAGAAUUUCAUCAUCCCGAACGUCCCGGAGGAUAAAGUCGACGCCCUCCUCGAGGAACCGUUACUGAAGCGUUACACGCCGUUCCCGGGCAAGGUCGUCGCCGGGAUGGUCGCGUGCACGGGACGACAGUUCUGCGGGUUCGCGCAGAUCGAGACGAAGAAGGAGGCGUACGCCGUCGCGGAACACUUGGAGUCGACGUUGGACUUUCCAAACGGCGACCUGCGGAUGAUCUGGACCGGGUGCCCGAACUCGUGCGCGCCCGUGCAAGUUGCGGACAUCGGUCUGAUGGGAUGCCAGAUGAAGAACCCGACCGGGGAGAAGGGCAUGGUCGACGGCGUGAAUAUCUUCC
rnacentral:lncRNA from 1 species